rnacentral:rRNA from 1 species
GACGUAGGGCGCGAGCGUUGUCCGGAUUUAUUGGGCGUAAAGAGCUCGUAGGCGGCUUGUUGCGUCAGCUGUGAAAACCCGCAGCUCAACUGUGGGCUUGCAGCUGAUACGGGCAGGCUUGAGUUCGGUAGGGGAGACUGGAAUUCCUGGUGUAGCGGUGAAAUGCGCAGAUAUCAGGAGGAACACCGGUGGCGAAGGCGGGUCACUGGGCCGCAACUGACGCUGAGGAGCGAAAGCAUGGGGAGCGAACAGG